GACGAACGCUGGCGGCGUGCUUAACACAUGCAAGUCGAACGGAAAGGCCCUGCUUGCAGGGUGCUCGAGUGGCGAACGGGUGAGUAACACGUGGGUGAUCUGCCCCUUACUUUGGGAUAAGCCUGGGAAACUGGGUCUAAUACUGGAUAGGACCAUGCUGUAGGUGGUGUGGUGGAAAGAUUAGUUUCGGUAAGGGAUGAGCUCGCGGCCUAUCAGCUUGUUGGUGGGGUAAUGGCCUACCAAGGCGUCGACGGGUAGCCGGCCUGAGAGGGUGGACGGCCACAUUGGGACUGAGAUACGACCCAGACUCCUACGGGAGGCAGCAGUGGGGAAUAUUGCACAAUGGGCGCAAGCCUGAUGCAGCGACGCCGCGUGGGGGAUGACGGCCUUCGGGUUGUAAACUCCUUUCAGCCAUGACGAAGCCCUUGUGGUGACGGUAGUGGUAGAAGAAGCACCGGCUAACUACGUG
rnacentral:rRNA from 1 species